GCAUUAAUGGGGUAGUGGUAACCUGGGUCGUUGCCAUGCAUGAUGCGAGUCUAGCUCGACCCGCCGGGGGUUCGAUUCCCCCUUAAUGCA